rnacentral:piRNA from 1 species
UUGGAUUAAUGUUGUGGACCGCUCUGCUC